CUUAAAAUGCUUUCAAUUACCAGGUAUGUAUAUUUUUAUUCGUUCUUAAAAUUUUAAUCUAAAAGCUGUGCGCCCAGGAAUUGUAAUACCUUAUUUUAUGUCACAUAACCUUAAAUGUAUGAAAAGGCGGUUGAAAAUAAAUAGCCCGUUCAAAGCAUGAAUCGCUAUCACAUAUAGGUUUCGAUUACGCUACGUACCUAUCGCGAUCGGUUUUGCUGAAACUGUGAACUGUAAAGAAGUGAAUUUCGACGAUACAUUUUUUCGGUAUCGAUAGUAAUCGUAUCGACCUUGUGGUGCAAUAAAGUUAUCAAAGAGAUAUAAAUCCUUGCCUAUCGAUUCAAGCAUUGAACACCACUAAUGCCCGUACUAAUAUUCGUGUAUUGAUCCGAGAUCGAAGUAAUCUCGGAUUGACAAGUGACGUUUUCUAUAGAAAACGAGAAUUAAUCUUCGAUCUCGGAUCAAUACACGACUACCUACUAAUACAGGCAUAAAUGACUAAUACAGCAAUAGCAUAAGGUGGUUAAUUUCCCCUCCCAAUGAAUUCGUUGACUUACAUUAAUAAAUGGCGUCCAAAAGUAUUUCGUACCAUGUCUUAAAAAUAAAUACCUUUGUGUUCGUAAUAUUUUUCAGGACAUGCAAAGAAGGUCCUAAACUUUAAAGCUUUUGGCGAACAAUUUGGCUGUUUAUUUUGUGCCCUCUCCAAGUAUAGCUAAUACAUUGCAUAUGUGUUUUUGGCCUACAAUAUCAGGAAUGUAAUCAGCGGAAGUUGAUCGCUAACAGAAUCUUUUGCUGCGCUAACAUACCAACUUCUUUGCAGAUUUCCAAACAUGGGAAGAAUUAAAUUAAAAAAUUAUAAUAACAUAUCCCUAAGACAUAGAAGACGAUUGCUAAACAAAAAUACAAAAUCUAACCUAGUCGUUGGGAAUAACUCGAAGAAUGAUUCAUUGGGGAAUCCCGAGGAGAAUCCAAUUUCUGUAAUUGUUAAUCGAUUCCAUUCUCAGUGUAGUCAAAAUACCCACAAUACGGUUUGUAAAACUGCAACGUUUGAUAGUAAUGUUACAAGUGCAGCAUCGCAUUCCAAUGAAAACUUGUGUGAAUAUGUAGAUGUUGGAGAUGAAUAUUGUUCUGGACCGAUUUUACACAACACUGAACAUAUUGCUUUUAAGAAUACAGAGACUGUUGUGAGUGUGGACCCCCCUCGAGAUACUCCACAUGUUCAUAAUGAUUCAUCAAUUCAACUACAAGAACAACUUGCAAAUUGGGCUCUAAUCUUCAAUGUUAAUUUAAAUGCAGUGUCAGCACUGUUACAUAUUAUAAACAAUUUCACAACUUAUUCGUUACCUAAAGACGCUCGAACUUUACUACAAACUCCUCGUCACACAAUUGUAAAAAGUAUGGGAAGGGGUCAAUAUCUACACUUGGGUUUAGAGAAUGCACUGAAAAAAAUGAUAAAUCAACAAGUUCAACAUAAUAAUGAAAUUGAUCUUUUAAUAAAUAUUGACGGACUACCUAUUUCUCGUUCUUCUACAGCAUGUUUAUGGCCAAUAUUGUGUUCUGACAACGUAACAAAACAAGUUUUUAUGGUCGGGUCAUACUACGGUCACGAAAAACCUACUGACGUCGCUUUGUAUCUCCAACAGUUUGUUGAUGAAGCUAUAUUACUUGUGCAGAAUGGGUAUUGUUUAAACAAUAAAAUAUAUAAGGUGAACAUAUCUGCACUCAUUUGUGAUGCUCCAGCGAAAUCUUUUGCUUUGUGUAUAAAAGGUCACACAGGUUAUAACAGCUGCAGUAAAUGCAAAAUAGAAGGACAAUAUAUCAACAAUCGUAUAUGUUUUCCAUUUGGAUCGGGUGGAAGCAAUAUAUUAAGGAAGAGCGAAGAUUUUUGGCAAGAUGGUGAUGAGGAGUUUCAAUAUGAUAAAAGUCCUUUCUUAAACAUACCCAAUUUUAAUCCAGUUUUAAAUGUCCCUUUGGAUUAUUUACACCUUAUAUGCUUGGGAGUUGUAAAAAAACUCAUUCUUUUGUGGAUGUCUGGAAAACCCCUUAAUAUCAGAAUCCCUGGAAUGACAAUAAAUAAAAUAUCUUCAGAUAUAUUGAAAUGCCAAAAGACUGUUCCAAGAGAAAUUGUGCGGAAACCUCGAUCGUUGUCAGACAUACAUCAUUGGAAAGGAACAGAGUUUCGCUCAUUUUUAUUGUAUGUUGGACCUGUUGUAUUAAAAAAAUAUUUAAGUGCUGAUAUGUACUUAAACUUUUUGACAUUACAUACUGCAAUUCGAAUAUUAUGUAAUCCUAACAUAUCUGAAGAUAAUAAUUAUAUUGUAUAUGCUGAGAAUCUGUUGAUACAUUUUGUGCAAUCUUUUGGAAUUAUUUAUGGAAAUGAUAAAAUUUCACACAAUGUCCAUAAUUUAAUUCAUAUUGCAGAUGACGCUAAAAAGUUUGGAUCUCUAGACAAUUUUAGCGCUUUUAGGUUUGAAAAUUACAUGUCUCACAUAAAAAAACUUAUUCGGAAAAACAAUCAACCUCUGCAACAGUUAGCACGACGUUAUACUGAACUUGAACAACUUAUAAAUUUAAAUCCAACGUCAAAAGUACAUUUAAAGAAAUUGCACAGUGAAGAAUUGUCAAUUGAUAGCCUUGCUUUUAUAAACAAUAUUCUUCAGUUUAAAAUAUAUGAAAGUGAGAAAUAUAUAAUAGAUUCUAGACAUUUUAAAGAUAGUUGCAUCCUUUUACACAGUGGAGAAAUUUUUUGUGUUUUGAACAUCAUUUGUGAAGAAGGGAAUAAAAAUGUACGUUUUGUGGGCAAAUGUUUAAAAAAACUAGAAUCUGCAUUGUACUCUCAGCCCUGCAGUUCAAGAGAUCUAGAUAUUUACAUUGUUAGAGAACCAUCCCAUUCAAACAAUGUCACUAUACGAGACAUUUCAGCAACAAAAUACAAAUUGUGGAUGGUACCAUAUCAGCAAUCAACUUUUGUUGCAAUUCCAUUAUUACAUACAAAUUCAUAGUUAAUCGAUAAUAAUUAAUCAAUCUUUAAUACAUAUUUGUACAUAUUAAUACCACCAAUAGCAUGUUGCAUAUAAAUUACUCAUUGAUACCAUAGGUACUUACCUGCUAAAAUUUUUACAUAUUUACUUAUAUAUUAUUUUUAGUUCAGAAAAUUUUGGGAAUUCCAAAAUAAUGAGUUAUUCAGUCGUAGAAUUCUCAGAUGGGGUACAAGUAGUACCCACUAGUUGGAUUUUCAAGGAAUGUAAUAUUGAUAUGUGCUGGUGGCCUCCCAACUGCAAUGAUAAAUUUCAAAUAAAUAGAUUAGUAUCUGGGAAUCACAACCCAGAGUCAAACUGGAAAAAACAUAAACUACUUAAAAUAUUUUGUCAAACCCCUACCUAUGAAAAAGGGAAGGAGAAACUUGAAUAUGCCUUACUAUUAUCCGAUGUUGAAGUAGAAGAUGAUGCGGUAAAAAGAAGCAGGCAUCAAAGACACUGUUCCAAACGAGACGCGGCCUGUGUGGAUACUGAUGAAGCCCAUAGUAAGAGUAACAAAAAAAGAUUAAGAGUCAUCUAUGAAAGUGAUGAAGAAUCCUCAACUGGAAGUGAUACAAAACUGACGCAAAUGCCUCCGUUCCCACCUAUACCCUCAUUGCUCUCGAGAUUAAGAGAAACAGAAGAUAAUGGUCCAGAGAAGGCUGAUGGGUCUGAUGUAUCCACUGGUGUAUCUACACCUGUAUCUAGAGGUGAUUUUGAACCUGGUGGUGCUACAGAUAUAAACAGAAAAUUAAACUUAAUAUUGCAUAAAUUGCAUGUAAUAGAAAACCGAUUAAAUACCUUAGAUAGUGUGCAACAAUCUCAGACAGUGCAGUUAACUAAAACUGUGCAAGAUUUGUACAAAAUUUUUCCCUUAGGCAGUCACGAAGAACUUGACAAUUUUGAAAAAGAGCUGGAAGGUGAAACUUAUUUUAAGAAAAUGGUGUCUGAAUUUACAACAAUUGGUGGCCAUGAUGUACAGUCGCUGACUGUAAAUAUCUUAAAAAAACUUUUAAGCAACAAGGUGGCUGUGGAGUAUAGUUUGCAAGGAAAAAAGAAAAAGAAAAUCUUUAAAAAUUUACUUUCUUAUCAAAUGAUAAUAAGUGCUGUUCGAUAUCACAAAUCGUGUGCAACAGAAGUCGACAUUUCUGGUUGCAUAGCAACCUGGUUAAGUCAGUCUGGUUUAAGAAUGGCACGUGAAAUUAAUAAGCGGCUACCAGCCGAGCAAUUGAUGGUGGAACCUACCCCCCAAUAAGCAUACUAAUUAGUUAUGUUUUAUGCAUUUAUAUAUAAAUUUAUUAUAGUGUACAUUUAGUCUAUAAAUAAAUAUAUAUGAACAUUG